ACUGGCACUUUCUAGUCAAAUAGUGUUUUGUAUAUACUCUUUGAUUGCAAAGGGCUAAAGCC
rnacentral:pre_miRNA from 1 species